AGCUGAGACCCAGGGCGGGUCUGACUAGGAAACCACAGCGCUGCAGAAAAGACCUGCCCUAAAAACAGGAAAGGCACUCCGACCACUUCCUUGCAACACGCCCACCACCCCUCCUAAACAAAGGUGGCAGAGUACUGAACGGCUUCGUGGAAAUGCGCAGCUACAGCAGCGCCCACUUGAAAAAGUCGUAGCCCCUUUUACAUUGAGGAUGCUCUGUCGGGCUGCGUUUCGUGUUUGAAAGUUAACGAGUGAGAUUUCAUGUUUAAUAAAUAGACGUUUGCAACGAUCGGGCAAAUGCACAUCAAGUGGUUAGAUUGGCUUUUUUAGUUUGGUAAAAACAAGUUUCAACAUAAGUUAAAUAC